CCUACGGGUGGCAGCAGUGGGGGAUAUUGGACAAUGGGGGGAACCCUGAUCCAGCGAUGCCGCGUGAGUGAAGAAGGAUUUCGGUAUGUAAAGCUCUGUCAGCAGGGAAGAAAGCAAUGACGUUACCUGACCAAGAAGCUCCGGCUAACUACGUGCCAGCAGCCGCGGUAAUACGUAGGGGGCAAGCGUUAUCCGGAAUUACUGGGUGUAAUGGGAGCGUAGACGGCUUUGCAAGUCAGGAGUGAAAGGCCGGGGCCCAACCCCCGGACUGCACUGGAAACUGGAUGGCUGGAGUGCAGGAGAGGGGAGCAGAAUUCCAGGUGUAGCGGUGAAAUGCGUAGAUAUUAGGAGGAACACCAGUGGCGAAGGCGGCUUACUGGACUGUAACUGACGUUGAGGCUCGAAAGCGUGGGGAGCAAACAGGAUUAGAUACCCCGGUAGUC
rnacentral:rRNA from 1 species